UACGUAGGGUGCAAGCGUUGUCCGGAAUUAUUGGGCGUAAAGAGCUCGUAGGCGGUUUGUCGCGUCUGCUGUGAAAACCCGAGGCUCAACCUCGGGCCUGCAGUGGGUACGGGCAGACUAGAGUGCGGUAGGGGGAGAUUGGAAUUCCUGGUGUAGCGGUGGAAUGCGCGGAUAUCAGGAGGAACACCAAUGGCGAAGGCAGAUCUCUGGGCCGUAACUGACGCUGAGGAGCGAAAGCAUGGGGGAGCGAACAGG
rnacentral:rRNA from 1 species